rnacentral:sRNA from 1 species
AAGAUGGCGAUGGCUACGGUAGCAGCGGCGGCGGCUGUUGCCUGGCCCGGGACCCUGGGGACGGGGGCCGAGUAGCGCCUUCCCCGGGCCCCGUGAACCGGCUGCGGGUCGCCCUUGGGGGGCAGCGGCCGCAGCCCCCCACCUGGGCCCUCGGUCCGCCCUCCCGGCGCGUCCAUGAACUCAGUGUCGCCGGCCGCCGCGCAGUACCGGAGCAGCAGCCCGGAGGACGCGCGCCGCCGGCCCGAGGCCCGCAGGCCGCGGGGUCCCAGAGGCCCAGACCCCAACGGCCUGGGGCCUUCCGGAGCCAGCGGCCUCGCUCUUGGCUCUCCCGCGGCUGGCCCGAGUGAGCCGGACGAAGUGGACAAGUUCAAGGCCAAGUUCCUGACAGCCUGGAACAACGUCAAAUGGGGGAAUGGAAGCGCUGUUGCUGUCAUGCAAGUGCUUCAUCUCGCUGGGCGCUGCCCCUACGUCUCCCCAGGUUGGGUGGUUAAAAGCCGGACCAGCUUUAGCAAGAUCUCCAGCAUCCACCUCUGUGGCCGCCGCUACCGUUUCGAGGGCGAGGGUGACAUACAGCGUUUCCAGCGGGACUUUGUGUCCCGCCUGUGGCUCACAUACCGCCGGGACUUCCCGCCCCUUCCUGGGGGCUGCCUGACCUCGGACUGUGGCUGGGGGUGCAUGUUACGCAGCGGCCAGAUGAUGCUGGCACAAGGCCUUCUGCUGCAUUUCCUGCCCAGAGACUGGACAUGGGCCGAGGGCAUGGGCCUGGGCCCCCCUGAGCUGUCAGGGUCAGCCUCUCCCAGCCGGUACCAUGGGCCUGCCCGCUGGAUGCCCCCACGCUGGGCCCAGGGUGCCCCUGAGCUGGAGCAGGAACGCCGGCACCGGCAGAUUGUGUCCUGGUUCGCCGACCACCCCCGGGCCCCCUUUGGCCUACACCGGCUGGUGGAGCUUGGGCAGAGCUCAGGCAAGAAGGCAGGUGACUGGUAUGGGCCAUCGCUGGUGGCACACAUCCUCAGGUGAGGGCCGCUGCAGGGAUCACGGGAGUUGCUGGGUACCCGCAGGCACUCAGGCCUUCCCUCCUGCCCCCAGGAAAGCCGUGGAGAGCUGCUCCGAGGUCACCCGCCUGGUGGUGUACGUUUCUCAGGACUGCACAGUGUACAAGGCGGAUGUGGCACGCCUGGUGGCCAGGCCAGACCCCACAGCCGAGUGGAAGUCUGUGGUCAUCCUGGUGCCCGUGCGACUGGGUGGCGAGACUCUCAACCCCGUGUAUGUGCCCUGCGUGAAG